AUGCAGUCGAACGAACUCUGGUAUUGAUUGGUGCUUGCAUCAUGAUUUACAUUUGAGUGAGUGGCGAACUGGUGAGUAACACGUGGGAAACCUGCCCAGAAGCGGGGGAUAACACCUGGAAACAGAUGCUAAUACCGCAUAACAACUUGGACCGCAUGGUCCGAGUUUGAAAGAUGGCUUCGGCUAUCACUUUUGGAUGGUCCCGCGGCGUAUUAGCUAGAUGGUGGGGUAACGGCUCACCAUGGCAAUGAUACGUAGCCGACCUGAGAGGGUAAUCGGCCACAUUGGGACUGAGACACGGCCCAAACUCCUACGGGAGGCAGCAGUAGGGAAUCUUCCACAAUGGACGAAAGUCUGAUGGAGCAACGCCGCGUGAGUGAAGAAGGGUUUCGGCUCGUAAAACUCUGUUGUUAAAGAAGAACAUAUCUGAGAGUAACUGUUCAGGUAUUGACGGUAUUUAACCAGAAAGCCACGGCUAACUACGUGCCAGCAGCCGCGGUAAUACGUAGGUGGCAAGCGUUGUCCGGAUUUAUUGGGCGUAAAGCGAGCGCAGGCGGUUUUUUAAGUCUGAUGUGAAAGCCUUCGGCUCAACCGAAGAAGUGCAUCGGAAACUGGGAGACUUGAGUGCAGAAGAGGACAGUGGAACUCCAUGUGUAGCGGUGAAAUGCGUAGAUAUAUGGAAGAACACCAGUGGCGAAGGCGGCUGUCUGGUCUGUAACUGACGCUGAGGCUCGAAAGUA
rnacentral:rRNA from 1 species